UACGUAGGGUGCAAGCGUUAAUCGGAAUUACUGGGCGUAAAGCGUGCGCAGGCGGUUUUGUAAGCCAGAUGUGAAAUCCCCCGGGCUCAACCUGGGAAUGGCAUUUGGGACUGCAAGGCUGGAGUACGGCAGAGGAGACUGGAAUUCCUGGUGUAGCAGUGAAAUGCGUAGAUAUCAGGAGGAAUACCGAUGGCGAAGGCAGGUCUCUGGGCUGAUACUGACGCUCAUGCUCGAAA
rnacentral:rRNA from 1 species